UGGUCAUGUACGACGUGGGCUUGGCUGAGGGCCCAGUCAUCCAGGAGUUUUUGUCUGUUCAUGUCCGCCGAGACGGAGUGUUUAGGGGAAUGUUGCCGCCACCACCACCCGAUGCACCUGGAUGGGUGUGAUGGUUGCGUGAAGGGUAGAGAGCUGGUGUCAUCUUUUUGGGGAGUAGCCGCCACUGUUGGAUGGGGGAUGUCAUGUGAUUUUCUUUAGGGGUCGUAGUAUCUUUUUGGGAUGAGGCCGAGUGUGGCUAAAAAUCUUGGUCUCCUUUUGUUGUAUCAACCCGUGAAAAACCCAUCAUGAUAAUAUGUAAAUAAAAGUGGCAUGGCUUAUCUUUUAAAUCCUGAUGAUUAGUG
rnacentral:lncRNA from 1 species